rnacentral:rRNA from 1 species
GCCAGACUCCUACGGGAGGCAGCAGUGGGGAAUAUUGCACAAUGGGGGAAACCCUGAUGCAGCGACGCCGCGUGAGUGAGGAAGUAUUUCGGUAUGUAAAGCUCUCUCAGCAGGGAAGAAAAAAUGACGGUACCUGACUAAGAAGCACCGGCUAAAUACGUGCCAGCAGCCGCGGUAAUACGUAUGGUGCAAGCGUUAUCCGGAUUUACUGGGUGUAAAGGGAGCGCAGGCGGUACGGCAAGUCUGAUGUGAAAGCCCGGGGCUCAACCCCGGGACUGCAUUGGAAACUGGCAUGCUGGAGUGCCGGAGGGGCAAGCGGAAUUCCUAGUGUAGCGGUGAAAUGCGUAGAUAUUAGGAGGAACACCGGUGGCGAAGGCGGCUUGCUGGACGGUAACUGACGUUGAGGCUCGAAAGCGUGGGGAGCAAACAGGAUUAGAUACCCCCGUAAAG